rnacentral:rRNA from 1 species
UACGUAGGGUGCGAGCGUUAAUCGGAAUUACUGGGCGUAAAGCGUGCGCAGGCGGCGCGUUAAGACAGGUGUGAAAAGCCCCCGAGCUUAACUUGGGAAUUUGCGCUUGUGACUGGCGUGCUGGAGUGUGGCAGAGGGAGGUGGAAUUCCACGUGUAGCAGUGAAAUGCGUAGAGAUGUGGAGGAACACCGAUGGCGAAGGCAGCCUCCUGGGCCAGCACUGACGCUCAUGCACGAAAGCGUGGGGAGCAAACAGG